rnacentral:rRNA from 1 species
AAAUUGAAGAGUUUGAUCAUGGCUCAGAUUGAACGCUGGCGGCAGGCCUAACACAUGCAAGUCGAACGGUAACAGGAAGAAGCUUGCUUCUUUGCUGACGAGUGGCGGACGGGUGAGUAAUGUCUGGGAAACUGCCUGAUGGAGGGGGAUAACUACUGGAAACGGUAGCUAAUACCGCAUAACGUCGCAAGACCAAAGAGGGGGACCUUCAGGCCUCUUGCCAUCGGAUGUGCCCAGAUGGGAUUAGCUAGUAGGUGGGGUAAUGGCUCACCUAGGCGACGAUCCCUAGCUGGUCUGAGAGGAUGACCAGCCACACUGGAACUGAGACACGGUCCAGACUCCUACGGGAGGCAGCAGUGGGGAAUAUUGCACAAUGGGCGCAAGCCUGAUGCAGCCAUGCCGCGUGUAUGAAGAAGGCCUUCGGGUUGUAAAGUACUUUCAGCGGGGAGGAAGGGAGUAAAGUUAAUACCUUUGCUCAUUGACGUUACCCGCAGAAGAAGCACCGGCUAACUCCGUGCCAGCAGCCGCGGUAAUACGGAGGGUGCAAGCGUUAAUCGGAAUUACUGGGCGUAAAGCGCACGCAGGCGGUUUGUUAAGUCAGAUGUGAAAUCCCCGGGCUCAACCUGGGAACUGCAUCUGAUACUGGCAAGCUUGAGUCUCGUAGAGGGGGGUAGAAUUCCAGGUGUAGCGGUGAAAUGCGUAGAGAUCUGGAGGAAUACCGGUGGCGAAGGCGGCCCCCUGGACGAAGACUGACGCUCAGGUGCGAAAGCGUGGGGAGCAAACAGGAUUAGAUACCCUGGUAGUCCACGCCGUAAACGAUGUCGACUUGGAGGUUGUGCCCUUGAGGCGUGGCUUCCGGAGCUAACGCGUUAAGUCGACCGCCUGGGGAGUACGGCCGCAAGGUUAAAACUCAAAUGAAUUGACGGGGGCCCGCACAAGCGGUGGAGCAUGUGGUUUAAUUCGAUGCAACGCGAAGAACCUUACCUGGUCUUGACAUCCACGGAAGUUUUCAGAGAUGAGAAUGUGCCUUCGGGAACCGUGAGACAGGUGCUGCAUGGCUGUCGUCAGCUCGUGUUGUGAAAUGUUGGGUUAAGUCCCGCAACGAGCGCAACCCUUAUCCUUUGUUGCCAGCGGUCCGGCCGGGAACUCAAAGGAGACUGCCAGUGAUAAACUGGAGGAAGGUGGGGAUGACGUCAAGUCAUCAUGGCCCUUACGACCAGGGCUACACACGUGCUACAAUGGCGCAUACAAAGAGAAGCGACCUCGCGAGAGCAAGCGGACCUCAUAAAGUGCGUCGUAGUCCGGAUUGGAGUCUGCAACUCGACUCCAUGAAGUCGGAAUCGCUAGUAAUCGUGGAUCAGAAUGCCACGGUGAAUACGUUCCCGGGCCUUGUACACACCGCCCGUCACACCAUGGGAGUGGGUUGCAAAAGAAGUAGGUAGCUUAACCUUCGGGAGGGCGCUUACCACUUUGUGAUUCAUGACUGGGGUGAAGUCGUAACAAGGUAACCGUAGGGGAACCUGCGGUUGGAUCACCUCCUUACCUUAAAGAAGC